GUUAUGUAAAGAACCCGUUACAUACUUGAUGCCAACCUCCUUCAUUGCCCAUCAACUCACUGACGGAACUGGCAUGUAGAGAACAUAACCCAUGGUGAAAAUAAAACUGAGACUUGCAAAUGGGAGAGGGUCGGAGUUUGGCUUGAGCUAAGCAAGGGGAAGAAAGAUGUUUCUGAAACACAAACAAUUACCUACAGAAAAAAUAAGAAACUACUGCUGUGGCAGGAAAAAAAGAUCCGGAUAGUUCUCCAGCUAAUUAGCUAGAAAGAAGUGUGUGCUGAAUCUCUCUCCAACUUUGCCAGCUCCCAUGUUUGAAGUGCAAGUCUCAAGAUGUGCCAGAAGCAUCAUCCUAUUACUAAUGAGUUGAAAUAGACAGCAGGAAAUGCAGGUCCCUUCCUAGCGUUGCCAGAAUGCAUCUCUGUGUGUAUCCAGCAAUUUGGGUGAUAUGUUGACAGAAUGAGGCCAGCGAUGCAAAUAAAGGAAUUUCCCCCCCUCUCUCCUUGCAUAUUACUGAAGCAUGGCUCAGGGUCUUCAACUAAGUUGCUCUGAUCCACAUCCUGAAGAUAAGUGAAGCAGUAUAUCAGUGAAGAUGAUAAGAAUGGAGAAGGUCAGGACUAAAUAAGGUAAUAUUUUUCAGAUCACCAAAUAAGGAAUGGAUUAAAACAAUUAGUAAUGUUAAAUUAUAGUCUACCAUACUUCUUGAAUUCUGUUAUGCAGAGGUUAAAUUGCAUCUCUGUAGACCAUUUACCAAAACAAAACUUCAGAUGAGAAUCUUCAUUUAUGUAAAACCAAACCAAAACAAUCAACCCCUCACCCAAAUUACACUAUGCAGAAUAUAUUUCUUCUGGUAUUAGUAAACUCUAAAAUGAGCAUUGAAUUAAUUCCAUCAACUCUGCCUUUCCCAAAAAUGCUGAGAAGAAAUGAAGAGUGCUAACAAAUCAAGUAGAUAUAUGCGUCACUAAUCCAUACAGAUCAGCUGUCCUUGAAAAGUAAAUUCUGGAAAGGGACCUGCACUUUCAAAGAUUAAUACAGCUUCUGCCAACUGGUGUACCUGCACUCGACUUAUUUAAAGAUUAACUGUAAACUUCAGAAAUGAAAGAGAAAGAUGUGAUGCCAGCAAGCAUAAAUACAGGAAGACAUUAGAUAUUUUUUCUUUUUUUUUUGGAAAUUAUGAAAUUCAAUAUGACAUAUAGAUGUGUGAGCUCUUCACUUACUGGCUACUACCUGAAACCUUUGCUAAAGUAGACAUUGUUUUUCUUUGAAAAAGAAAAGAAGACAAUUGUAUUCUUAUUCAGUACUAUGAAAUGGAAUCAUCAAGAAUUAGAAAACCUUCAAUACUGUAUUUCUGAAUUAGUGGUCUGGAAUGAGUUUUGUUCAUCACUGAGAUUGCAUUAGUUAGAAAGAAUAGGAUCUGUCAAACACUAUAGGGAAUCUGCACUUGGGGCUUCUGUUACCAGAUGAAAAUGUUGUGCCCACGAAAUAAAAAGUACUGGUGCAGUGUUCAGAAUUUUUCAGGGUUAACUUUUUACUCAACAAAUGACAAAGAAGGUAUUAGACUACACAGUUUGCCUAUCCAGUGUCCUUGCAGAGAUAGUGUAAGACCAUCAAACACGUCCUAUUCUUUGGAUAAUUUGAAAGAAAUGCAUUCAUAUUUCCAUACCUGUUUCAGAUCAACUUUGUACUUCUGAGUAAUGCCCAGAUCUGAUCAAUAUUAAUGAUUAGGAAGCCACAAUAUCAGAAAAGGU